UACGUAGGGCGCAAGCGUUGUCCGGAAUUAUUGGGCGUAAAGAGCUCGUAGGCGGCUUGUCACGUCGGGUGUGAAAGCCCGGGGCUUAACCCCGGGUCUGCAGUCGAUACGGGCAGACUAGAGUGCGGUAGGGGAGACUGGAAUUCCUGGUGUAGCGGUGAAAUGCGCAGAUAUCAGGAGGAACACCGGUGGCGAAGGCGGUUCUCUGGGCCUGUACUGACGCUGAGGAGCGAAAGCGUGGGGAGCGAACAGG
rnacentral:rRNA from 1 species